rnacentral:rRNA from 1 species
UUUACUUACUUAAAUUCUUAGUGGCGAACGGGUGAGUAACGCGUGGGUAACCUGUCCUAAUGACCGGAAUAACAGUUGGAAACGACUGCUAAUGCCGGAUGAACUCCUGGAAAGGCAUCUUUCAAGGAGGAAAGCUGGCCUCUGAAUAUGCUAGCGCAAAAGGGUGGACCCGCGUCUGAUUAGCUGGUUGGUGGGGUAGAGGCCUACCAAGGCGACGAUCAGUAGCCGGCCUGAGAGGGUAAACGGCCACACUGGGACUGAGACACGGCCCAGACUCCUACGGGAGGCAGCAGUGGGGAAUCUUCCGCAAUGGACGAAAGUCUGACGGAGCAACGCCGCGUGUAUGAAGAAGGCCUUCGGGUUGUAAAGUACUGUUGUCAGGGACGAACCGUAUAUGUGUAAAUAAUGCGUAUCCUGACGGUCCUGACGAGGAAGCCCCGGCUACUACGUGCCAGCAGCCGCGGUAUACGUAGGGGGAAGCGUUGUCCGGAAUUAUUGGGCGUAAAGGGCGCGUAUGCGGCUGUUAAGUCUGAUUGAAAGUGCGGGGCUUACCCCGUAAGCAUUGGAACUGUACGGCUUGAGGACAGGAGAGAAAGUGGAUUCCACGUGUAGCGCUGAAUGCGUAAUAUGUGGAGGAACACAGUGGCAAAGGGACUUUCUGGAUGUAUCUGACGCUGAGGCGCGAAAGCGUGGGGAGCGAACAGGAUUAGAUACCCUGGUAGUCCACGCCGUAAACGAUGAGUGCUAGGUGUAGAGGGUAUCGACGCCUUCUGUGCCGCAAUAAACACUAUAAGCACUCCGCCUGGAGAGUACGGCCGCAAGGAUGAAACUCAUAGGAUUUGACGAGGCGCCAGCACAAGCUGCUGGAGCAUGUAGGUUUAAUUCGACGCUACCGCGAAGAAUCUUACGCAGGCUUGACAUCCUACGUAUCCCGAAGAGAUUUGGGAGUGCCCUUCUCGGGAAGUUAGAACUAGGUGUGCAUGGUUGUCGUCAGCUCAUG